GCACCACAAGAGGUGGGACCUGCGGUUCAAUUGGAUUCAACGCCGGAAAACUCACCAGGGGCGACAGCUGGUUGACGGCCAGAUUGACGAUCUUGCCCGACUAGCUGAGAGGUGGUGCAUGGCCAUCGUCAGCUCGUACCGUGAGGCGUCCUGUUAAGUCAGGCAACGAGCGAGAUCCUCGCCCUUAGUUGCCAUCGGUGGAAAGCCGGGCACUCUAGGGGGACCGCUGGCGCUAAGUCAGAGGAAGGAGAGGGCGACGGUAGGUCAGUAUGCCCCGAAUCCCCUGGGCUACACGCGGGUCACAAUGCGCAGGACAAUGAGAUGCAACCCCGUAAGGGGAAGCCAAACCCAUAAACCUGCGCUCGGUUCGGGUCGAGGGCUGUAACUCGCCCUCGUGAAGCUGGAAUCUCUAGUAAUCGCGUGCCAACACCGCGCGGUGAAUGCGUCCCUGCUCCUUGCACACACCGCCCGUCAAACCAUCCGAGUUGGGUCUAGAUGAGGGUAUCUCUCUUUGGGAUGUUCAAAUCUGGGUUCAGCAAGGGGGGUU
rnacentral:rRNA from 1 species